GAUGAACGCUGGCGGCGUGCCUAAUACAUGCAAGUCGUGCGAACAGACGAGCAUCUUGCUCCUCUGACGUUAGCGGCGGACGGGUGAGUAACACGUGGAUAACCUACCUAUAAGACUGGGAUAACUUCGGGAAACCGGAGCUAAUACCGGAUAAUAUAUUCAACCGCAUGGUUCAAUAGUGGAAGACGGUUUUGCUGUCACUUAUAGAUGGCUCCGCUCCGCAUUAGCUAGUUGGUAAGGUAACGGAUUACCAAGGCAACGAUGACUAGCCGACCUGAGAGGGUGAUCGAGCAGACUGGAACGGGGGGACGGCCACGAGGCCACCGAGAGGCGGCAGUAGGGACUACUCGACAAUGGAGGAAAGCAUGAUGGAGCAACGCCGCGUGCGUGAUGAAGGUAUUCGGAUCGUAAAACGCUGUUAUUAGGGAAGAAAAGUUGUGUAAGUAGCUAUGAAAGACUUGACGGUACCUACACAGAAAGCGACGGCUAACUACGUG
rnacentral:rRNA from 1 species